rnacentral:rRNA from 1 species
GACGAACGCUGGCGGCGUGCUUAACACAUGCAAGUCGAACGGAAAGGCCCUGCUUUUGUGGGGUGCUCGAGUGGCGAACGGGUGAGUAACACGUGUGUAACCUGCCCUUGACUUUGGGAUAACUACAGGAAACUGGGGCUACUACCGGAUAGGAGCUCCUGAUGCAUGGUGGGGGUGGGAAAGUUUCGGCGGUUGGGGGUGGACUCGCGGCUUAUCAGCUUGUUGGUGGGGUAGUGGAUUACAAAGGCUGUGCCGGGCAGCCGGCCUGAGAGGGUGACCAGCCACAUUGGGACUGAGAGACGGCCCAGAGUCCUACGGGAGGCAGCAGUGGGGAAUAUUGCACAAUGGGGGGAAGCGUGAUGCAGAAACGCCGCGGGCGGGAUGACGGCCUUCGGGUGGUAAACCGCUUUCGCCUGUGACGAAGCGUGAGUGACGGUAAUGGGUAAAGAAGCACCGGCUAACUACGUG